GGGUCCCUACGGGAGGCAGCAGUGAGGAAUAUUGGUCAAUGGCCGAGAGGCUGAACCAGCCACGUCGCGUGAGGGAAGACGGCCCUACGGGUUGUAAACCUCUUUUGUCGGGGAGCAAAGAGAGUCACGUGUGACUCAUUGAGAGUACCCGAAGAAAAAGCAUCGGCUAACUCCGUGCCAGCAGCCGCGGUAAUACGGAGGAUGCGAGCGUUAUCCGGAUUUAUUGGGUUUAAAGGGUGCGCAGGCGGAGGUGCAAGUCAGCGGUCAAAUUGCGGGGCUAAACCCCGUAAUGCUGUUG
rnacentral:rRNA from 1 species